rnacentral:rRNA from 1 species
UACGGGGGGGGCAAGCGUUGUUCGGAAUUACUGGGCGUAAAGGGCUGGUAGGCGGCCAACUAAGUCGGAUGUGAAAUCCCCAGGCUUAACCUGGGAACUGCAUCCGAUACUGGUCGGCUUGAAUCCGGGAGAGGGAUGCAGAAUUCCAGGUGUAGCGGUGAAAUGCGUAGAUAUCUGCAGGAACACCCGUGGCGAAAGCGGCGCGCUGGACCACUACUGACGCUGAGGAACGAAAGCUAGGGGAGCAAACAGG